rnacentral:rRNA from 1 species
GCAGGGGGAUGCUUACACAUGCAGUCGAGCGGCAGCAUGCCCUUCGGGGUGAUGGCGAGCGGCGGACGGGUGAGUAAUACAUAGGAAUCUGCCCUAGAGUGGGGGAUAGCCCGGGGAAACUCGGAUUAAUACCGCAUAAUCUCUACGGAGCAAAGUGGGGGAUCUUCGGACCUCACGCUUUAGGAUGAGCCUAUGGCCGAUUAGCUUGUUGGUGAGGUAACGGCUCACCAAGGCCACGAUCGGUAGCUGGUUUGAGAGGAUGAUCAGCCACACUGGGACUGAGACACGGCCCAGACUCCUACGGGAGGCAGCAGUGGGGAAUAUUGGACAAUGGGCGAAAGCCUGAUCCAGCAAUUCCGCGUGUGUGAAGAAGGCCUUAGGGUUGUAAAGCACUUUAAUCAGGGAAGAAAAAGCUUUGGCUAAUAUCCAAAGCCUUGACGGUACCUGAAGAAUAAGCACCGGCAAACUCUGUGCCAGCAGCCGCGGUAAUACAGAGGGUGCGAGCGUUAAUCGGAUUUACUGGGCGUAAAGCGUGCGUAGGAGGCUUGUUAAGUCGGUUGUGAAAUCCCCGGGCUCAACCUGGGAACUGCAGUCGAUACUGGCAAGCUAGAGUUCGGUAGAGGGUGGUGGAAUUUCCGGUGUAGCGGUGAAAUGCGUAGAGAUCGGAAGGAACACCAAUGGCGAAGGCAACCACCUGGGCCUGAACUGAC